UGUUUCUUUAAGAAUAUACUAACAAACUGCAAGGUGAUGCGGUCACAGAAGAUCUUAUUAGACGGAAUGCUGAACACAACGACUGUGUCAUUUUUUCCCUGGAGGAACUCUCGUUGCAUCAGCAAGAAAUAGAAAGACUAGAACACAUUGAUAAAUGGUGCCGGGAUUUAAAAAUUCUCUAUCUUCAAAAUAAUCUUAUUGGGAAAAUUGAAAAUGUUAGCAAACUCAAGAAACUUGAAUAUUUGAAUUUAGCUUUAAACAACAUUGAAAAAAUAGAAAACUUGGAAGGAUGUGAAGAGCUGGCAAAACUUGACCUGACUGUGAAUUUCAUUGGAGAGCUGAGCAGCAUUAAAAACUUGCAGCACAAUAUCCAUCUGAAGGAGCUCUUUCUCAUGGGGAACCCAUGUGCUUCCUUUGACCACUAUAGGGAGUUCGUGGUAGCAACUCUUCCACAAUUAAA
rnacentral:lncRNA from 1 species